AAGCUGACAUCUGUAGCACUGCCCGGGA
rnacentral:piRNA from 1 species